CCCCAUGGCCACCAAGUUUAUAUCUGAGCUGAAAAAAAUAAAAAGUUAAAAAAAAUAAGUCAAUUUGUUCUUGUUCAACAGAGAGUGGACAUGGAGAAGAGUCAUCAGCUCAUAACCCUCUCUAUUUUAAGACUAUUGAAGUACCCCUCCCAAGCUACCUCCUAAACUAAAACACACACAAUUAUUUUUGCCAAGAGAUUUUCCACUUCCAACAUACCUUGCUAAGAAGGUCUGCAGUUUUCAUGUCUAUCUGCGCUACAUCCUCCACGAUUUGCCUCGGGGGAGCUGGGAAGAAAGCACCCAUUUGCCUGCACUUUGCAGUGUGGAGACUCUCACAAUUCAAUCAGCUAUAAUCUUUAAAGCAGGAACACCAGACUUCCCUCCGCAGUCUUACAGGACCUCGAUCGCACCUGCCAUCGCCUUGUCUGAAAAGCAUCAUUUGGCAAUUUGCACAGAGUGACGAGAGCUGCGCUGAGCUGGGGGUUAGUUUUGCUGAGACUCGAUCCGGACACGCAAUUGCAAUGUUCGCUGGACAAGGGUUGUUAGCUCUGGCUGGACAGCAGCGUCUCCCUGCCCGUGGGUAGGCACGCCAGACAGACCUCAAACCAACUGAAGGAAACCUGAAAAUCCAAUCUAGCCUUCCGGAAUUUGAUUUGUAGGAAAUUGAGGAACAAGGCUUUACAGAGGGAUUUCAAAUAAAUCAUAAUUAAUUACACGUGCAAAGACAUCAACUACAUCGGGGCACACGGUGAACAAAUGAGCAGCAGCUCGGCGAGGCCACCCAUGGGGACCUGCAGCCGUGCCCGGAGCCCGCCCAGGUGCUUCUGCCUGCUCCCAGCACCCUGCAGCAGCACCUGGGCAGCUCGUCUUCAGUGUUAGGCACCAAUCUGUUUGCCUUUUUGUUGUUGUUGUUGUUCUUAGUGGGUCAAAUACACAGUGUCUUAAAAGUGCAUCGAAAAAGAUCUUUCUAGAGUGUCAGUGCAGAAUAAAAUACAAUCUUGAUGGGAUAACUGGAGAUAUAAAACUUACAUUCAAUUAAAAGCAAUUUACACAAUUAGAAAGAAGUGUCUCUCCCAGCUCCCUCCCUUGAAUACUGACAUCCCAUUUAUGUCCUCCACAAG